rnacentral:rRNA from 1 species
CCCUACGGCUAUGAAGAGGGCUUCAAUAAUCUUUGCGACUCCCGCAAGCAGCUCUCCCGAAACCAAGUCUCUUAUACCCUUAACAAGGGCCACUCCCGGCACAAGGGUCAUAAUAGGGCCUAUUAUUACAUUGUUGUAAUCGCAGGUAAUCCCCCCAUAUUGGGCAAAAUAAACUAUUAUAAGGCAGAUGGCGGCAAGGGCUGCUCCUCCCAAAAUAUUCUUUAUAAAAAAAUUGAAAUCCUUGGUUGUAAGCCAGUCCAUACAGGCCACUGUCAGACAG